GUUUUCGUAGUGUAGUGGUUUUCACGUGCGCUUUACACGUGCAAGGUCCCCAAUUCAAUCCUGGGCGGAAACA
rnacentral:tRNA from 1 species